rnacentral:tRNA from 1 species
UCCGAUAUGGUCUAGUGGCUAGGAUACUUGGCUUUCACCCAAGAGGCUCGGGUUCGAUUCCCGGUAUCGGAA